GCAGAUUUAUAUUAAUAGAAGGUCAGCCUCAUUUAACGGCGGAUUUUACACUUGGCCCAGAACCCUCGACUAGUAUUUUUGAAAGACACCAAGGAAAUACUGCAGCAUUUAUCUAUCUACGUUCUACAUAUCUGGUUCUGCUAUUUAACCUCUGGGCAUCUCAAGAGCUUUGGUACUAAUAUCCAGAGUACAGACUUCUAAUCAGAAUAGCAUUCUCUCGAAGUUGAGCUGCAUGAAAUUAGUUACAGGCUUCGUGCUCUGGCGUUUGGUUGACGCAGGGUCAAGCCCAUCCAGGCCCUACACUAGACACCCACACAUUCAAAAGG
rnacentral:sRNA from 1 species